rnacentral:rRNA from 1 species
AUUGAACGCUGGCGGCAGGCUUAACACAUGCAAGUCGAACGGCAGCACGGGGCAACCUGGUGGCGAGUGGCGAACGGGUGAGUAAUGCAUCGGAACGUACCUUUCAGUGGGGGAUAACGUAGCGAAAGUUACGCUAAUACCGCAUAUUCUGUGGGCAGGAAAGCAGGGGAUCGCAAGACCUUGCGCUGAUUGAGCGGCCGAUGUCAGAUUAGCUAGUUGGUGAGGUAAAGGCUCACCAAGGCGACGAUCUGUAGCGGGUCUGAGAGGAUGAUCCGCCACACUGGAACUGAGACACGGUCCAGACUCCUACGGGAGGCAGCAGUGGGGAAUUUUGGACAAUGGGGGCAACCCUGAUCCAGCCAUGCCGCGUGAGUGAAGAAGGCCUUCGGGUUGUAAAGCUCUUUCGGCCGGGAAGAAAUCGUACGGGCUAAUAACCUGUGUGGAUGACGGUACCGGAAUAAGAAGCACCGGCUAACUACGUGCCAGCCGCCGCAGUAACAC